rnacentral:rRNA from 1 species
CCUACGGGCGGCAGCAGUGAGGAAUAUUGGUCAAUGGACGAGAGUCUGAACCAGCCAAGUAGCGUGAAGGAUGACUGCCCUAUGUGUUGUAAACUUCUUUUAUAUGGGAAUAAAACAGGGUAUGCAUCCCCUGUUGUAUGUACCAUAUGAAUAAGGAUCGGCUAACUCCGUGCCAGCAGCCGCGGUAAUACGGAGGAUCCGAGCGUUCUCCGGAUUUAUUGGGUUUAAAGGGAGCGUAGGUGGAUUGUUAAGUCAGUUGUUAAAGUGUGCGGCUCAACCGUAAAAAUGCAGUUGAAACUGGCAGUCGUGAGUACAGUAGAGGUGGGCGGAAGUCGUGGUGUAGCGGUGAAAUGCUUAGAUAUCACGAAGAACUCCGAUUGCGAAGGCAGCUCACUGGACUGCAACUGACACUGAUGCUCGAAAGUGUGGGUAUCAAACAGGAUUAGAUACCCUAGUAGUC